rnacentral:rRNA from 1 species
GGCUCAGAUUGAACGCUGGCGGCAGGCUUAACACAUGCAAGUCGAGCGGAGUGAUGGUGCUUGCACUAUCACUUAGCGGCGGACGGGUGAGUAAUGCUUAGGAAUCUGCCUAUUAGUGGGGGACAACAUUUCGAAAGGAAUGCUAAUACCGCAUACGUCCUACGGGAGAAAGCAGGGGAUCUUCGGACCUUGCGCUAAUAGAUGAGCCUAAGUCGGAUUAGCUAGUUGGUGGGGUAAAGGCCUACCAAGGCGACGAUCUGUAGCGGGUCUGAGAGGAUGAUCCGCCACACUGGGACUGAGACACGGCCCAGACUCCUACGGGAGGCAGCAGUGGGGAAUAUUGGACAAUGGGCGCAAGCCUGAUCCAGCCAUGCCGCGUGUGUGAAGAAGGCCUUAUGGUUGUAAAGCACUUUAAGCGAGGAGGAGGCUACUGAAGUUAAUACCUUCAGAUAGUGGACGUUACUCGCAGAAUAAGCACCGGCUAACUCUGUGCCAGCAGCCGCGGUAAUACAGAGGGUGCAAGCGUUAAUCGGAUUUACUGGGCGUAAAGCGCGCGUAGGCGGCUAAUUAAGUCAAAUGUGAAAUCCCCGAGCUUAACUUGGGAAUUGCAUUCGAUACUGGUUAGCUAGAGUGUGGGAGAGGAUGGUAGAAUUCCAGGUGUAGCGGUGAAAUGCGUAGAGAUCUGGAGGAAUACCGAUGGCGAAGGCAGCCAUCUGGCCUAACACUGACGCUGAGGUGCGAAAGCAUGGGGAGCAAACAGGAUUAGAUACCCUGGUAGUCCAUGCCGUAAACGAUGUCUACUAGCCGUUGGGGCCUUUGAGGCUUUAGUGGCGCAGCUAACGCGAUA